AUACGUAGGGUGCGAGCGUUAAUCGGAAUUACUGGGCGUAAAGAGCUCGUAGGUGGUUUGUCGCGUCGUCUGUGAAAUCCCGGGGCUUAACUCCGGGCGUGCAGGCGAUACGGGCAUAACUUGAGUACUGUCGGGGAGACUGGAAUUCCUGGUGUAGCGGUGAAAUGCGCAGAUAUCAGGAGGAACACCGGUGGCGAAGGCGGGUCUCUGGGCAGUAACUGACGCUGAGGAGCGAAAGCAUGGGUAGCGAACAGGAUUAGAUACCCUGGUAGUCCAUGCCGUAAACGGUGGGCGCUAGGUGUAGGGGUCUUCCACGACUUCUGUGCCGUAGCUAACGCAUUAAGCGCCCCGCCUGGGGAGUACGGCCGCAAGGCUAAAACUCAAAUGAAUUGGCGGGG
rnacentral:rRNA from 1 species